AAACACACUGUGUUUUAAAAAAUCCCGCUAUUUUGAUCAUUAUUGAAAAUACGUGGGCUGCUGGGUCCUCUGUUUUUAACGAAAUCGUUCUAUAUUUAAGCUAGGUUAGCACCACAGACCGUAGACUACAGGUGGUAAGAUAUGUUGUAUCUUGUUAGAAACUGAUAGUCUGCAAUGUGAUUCAUGUCUGCUUUUCUAAUAUAUUUAAAUGAACAGUAAAUCAAUUGUUUUUUGUAUCUUCAUUUAGGCAAAGAAGAGAUAAAAGCAGCUGGUCUGACAUCUUCCACAGAGGUGAAGUAACCUAAAAAUGACUAAUUUCAACCUUCAUCUGCACACCUGUUACAGAGGUCAGGCUGGGGUCACAGUUUGAAGGAACCUCCUCCUUCUUUCACCUGUGCCAGACGCCCUGCUCAUCCACUGUGGUAGAAAUGACCUUACACCAGCAGCUCUCCCAGAUGAAGAGUCCUCUCUGCCAUCACCGAUGCUGAUCAACGUCUGCACAACUGAAGAAGGUGGACAGAGUCUGGAGCUUUGUGACAGUGAACAGUGAGAAGGUGGACAGAGUCUGGUGCUUUGUGACAGUGAACAGUGAGAAGGUGGACAGAGUCUGGUGCUUUGUGACAGUGAACAGUGAGAAGGUGGACAGAGUCUGGUGCUUUGUGACAGUGAACAGUGAGAAGGCUACCACAGUCAUCCUCAGAUAAAACACAGAGAUCCUGGUCAAUAUUCAAUGGUGCUAUUUUUCUUUCCAUGAUGUUGCCCUGUGUUUGAAAGGCCAAAUGCUGGAGGGUUGUGUUGGAUUUGAUUUUUCCAUCAUAUUUUAACAGUCAAACAAUCAUCCAGGAUUUCUAUACUUUAUUUGAUUUUUAUUUGGAUUUCUUUGUUAAAUUAUUUUUUAUACUUUCUCCUAUGUCCCAGCAGUUCGACCUGUUGGUCUCCCUUACUUAUUUUCCACAUGGUUAAUGAAGCCAGAGGUUGUUUAUUGAAGUUUAUUUUUUUCAUAAAAUGUUUAAAUAAACUUUUUUUAAAUCUGAAUUGACUGUCUCUGAUUAACUGGAGCACUACAAAAUGUUGGUCACAGUAAAAUAAUUUAGCAGUUAAGUUUAUAGCUCACAUUUGAAAAGGCCUUGAACUGACAUUAAUUUCUUCUUGACCAACAACAGCUAAGACAACAGCAAAGCUAACAGACGAGCUCAGCUUGUCACCUUCGGUCUCGUCUGAGAUAAAUGGCCUUCAAACUUAUUUAAUAUUAAACAUUUAAAGCCAAUAAGCAUAGCAAGAUACACAUGAGAUUCCAUUUCCAUUUAUUCAAUCACGGACUUGUCAAACAGUCUGGCAUUUUGUGCUGCUGUUUUCAAGAGUUAAUAACUGAAGAGAAGAAGACCAUCGAGAGAGGACAGGAAACGCUCAGGGGACGAGUCCUCCAUGUUGUCAGUGGUUGUUGAUGGAUCUGAAUCUGAGGGCAUCUUCUGUAAUAAAGAAAAACAAUCAUGGA